rnacentral:rRNA from 1 species
AGCGAACGCUGGCGGCAGGCCUAACACAUGCAAGUCGAGCGCCGUAGCAAUACGGAGCGGCAGACGGGAGAGUAACACGUGGAACGUGCCCUUCAGUUCGGAACAACCCAGGGAAACUUGGGCUAAUACCGGAUACGCCCUUACGGGGAAAGAUUUAUCGCUGAUGGAGCGGCCCGCGUCUGAUUAGCUAGUUGGUGAGGUAACGGCUCACCAAGGCGACGAUCAGUAGCUGGUCUGAGAGGAUGAUCAGCCUCACUGGGACUGAGACACGGCCCAGACUCCUACGGGAGGCAGCAGUAGGGAAUAUUGGACAAUGGGCGCAAGCCUGAUCCAGGCAUGCCGCGUGAGUGAUGAAGGCCUUAGGGUUGUAAAGCUCUUUCGGCGGGGAAGAUGAUGACGGUACCCGCAGAAGAAGCCCCGGCUAACUUCGUGCCAGCCGCCGCGGUAAUAC